GCCAACUUAGCUCACCUGGUAGAGCAGCACACUCGUAACGUGCAGGUAAUCGGUUCAAGUCCGAUAGUUGGCU
rnacentral:tRNA from 1 species